rnacentral:rRNA from 1 species
UACGUAGGGUGCGAGCGUUAAUCGGAAUUACUGGGCGUAAAGCGUGCGCAGGCGGUUCGCUAAGACCGAUGUGAAAUCCCCGGGCUUAACCUGGGAACUGCAUUUGUGACUGUAGAGCUGGAGUACGGCAGAGGGGGAUGGAAUUCCGCGUGUAGCAGUGAAAUGCGUAGAUAUGCGGAGGAACACCGAUGGCGAAGGCAAUCCCCUGGGCCUGUACUGACGCUCAUGCACGAAAGCGUGGGGAGCAAACAGG